UUUUUUAAGAGAAAAAGUGAAAAAUCAGAAGCAAAUAAGGCAAAUCAUUAAGGGUUAAAUGGGAGUGAGGGGUGCUCGUCCACAGUAUGAUUCUCUGAACUUUGCCAUAUACUUGAGAUAUUUUCUGAUACAAUUACGCUGGCCUGGAAGGUGGGAGGAGGUCUGAGGAACUGGGUCAGGAGCUGGCCAAGCUCGUCAUCCUCCAGAUGUGAUGGUGAAGGUGGGAGGGUGUGACUCACCGAGACAAGCCGGGAUGUUUUGGAUGUUUCUGAAACUCUGAAGUCCCCUAUCCCCUUGCCAGCUCCUGACAAGGGCGUGCAUGGGGUGAGCCCCUGAAAUAGCAGAGUGAACCAGGGUGCCCAAGGGGACACCCAUCAGCAUUCCUUUCUCAGGCUCCCCACAGGGAGCGCAUGCGGAAUGCUGGGAUUUUAAGCCAUUCCUGGAGCCCUUGUGGUUCCAGCUUCAACCCCAGCUCCACCCCCCACCCCAUGGCCAUGGAGUCGGCCUUUGGGUCCACAGGCCCACAGAGACGGUGAGUCCCCAAGCCCUGGGCCUGGCGGAAGAGAACCUCGGCUGUAGAAGUGGGCUGACUACAGCUUGUUGUGCUGUUGCUAAGUUCUGUGCUGAUCAGUCUGGCCUCAGGGGUUUUUUUUUUUCCUUUGGUUUCUUGUUCUGACGGGAACUGGGCGAAUCUGGAGCUGGUUCAUCACAGCCGCAGCAUUCCAGAGGGUGUGACUCCGCAAGCUCCUUUUUGGCCUCAGAUCCCGCGUCCACACCCUCCCCAGCUGCCGAGCGGAUGGAUGGACGGUCGGGAGAGCAGCUCAAACCAAGGUUCAUCAUGAAAGGAUCCCUGGCAGCUCUUGGGCCAAGAGUAGAAGCAGACGUAGGGCCUCAGGUAAGAGGCUCCUGCUGCAUCCGGGUGGGAGAUGGGUCAGGUCUGAGGGGCGAGCACUGGUGGCCAUCAGGAGAAGCAGUUGCGUGUUGGAGGGACAGCAUGUGAUACAGCCUGCAGGGUAUGAGAGAGAAAGGAGAGGCAGUCAAAAACAGCUCCGGGGCUCUGGGCUGGAGCCACUGCUGGGGGGAGGGCGAUAGGGAGGCCAAAGUGGGGAAGAUGCAAGCAGAGCACGUUCGUGGGGGCCAAAUCAACAGGUUAAUUUGGGUUCCAGACAGCGUGGAGCCUCGUGAGCCAUGGAAGCAAUAAACAGACCUCUCUGAGAUGGUUCUGAGGACAGCCGAGGAGCCACUGGGGGGGUUUAGGCAGAAUUCCAGAACAUUCCAGAUGUUAUCUCCUCUGGGGAGCUUCCUGGUGCAAGUGGCUUCUCUCUUGUUAAGUUGCUUCAUCUCGGAAUCUUGACUCAGUUUCUCCAAUAUUUUGUUUCACUCUAAAAGCUUUUGCUAUGUGCCGGGCACUGUGCUGACUCUAGUACCAGCACUGUUGCGUGAAUUAGGAGGUGUGGACCAUUGACCAUGGUACCAUUUCACAGAGGAGGAAAGAGGCACAGAGAGAGGUGGUCACUUUCCCAAGGCCACACAGCUGAGAGGCUGGGACUCAGACCCAGGCACCCAGGCUCCAGAGUCCGCGUGUCAAACCACUGCACUCCAUUAUCCAACUCUUUAUUCACCUCCACCACCAGCACACACACACACACACACACACACACACACACAGUGCCAUGUGGCUGUGCACAUAGAGACCUCCAGGAGAACCUGUAUCGAGGAUUAUGCUCCAGCUUGGUUUUAUCUGCAGGCCUGCGCUCUCUGUGUUUAUUAAUUCACUAGAUAAAUAUUUGUAUGUGAAGGCCACGGCCGGGGGCUGCUGGGAAGCUGAGACGGGGAGCCUGUGUUUCCUGCCUGUGCUGUGAUGGAGGGAGGAGGUGAGGAGGUGGGGACCCAAGCUGGGAAAUUUACCCUACAGAAUGCUCCGUGCCUGCAGAGAAGGGAGCCGCAGACAGAGCCCAGGACGGCCCGGGUUCGGGGCAGGAGAGCAUCGGGGGGCUUAACAGUGCCUGUCUUAGGGUCACCUCAACCCUGCGUGACCUUGGACACGUCACCCCACCUCUCCCAGCCUCAGUUUCCACCUCGCUGUAAAGGGGGCCGAGCAACCCACCUCCUAGAACCAUGUGAGGCCACCACCGCUCAACAAAGAGAACCCCAACUUCCACUUCCCAGGCUGGGAUAAUAUUGCGUGUACGUCACGCACUGUUCUCCGAGAAGUUCCUUUCUCAAAGAGGCUGGAGGGUAGCGAAAUGUUGGGUGGUGGGUCUUGGCUUUCCAGUGCCCCCCGCCCCACACAAGUCACUCUGGGGCCACGUGGAUUCUCGGCUGUCUCUUGAUACAGCAGAUUCCAGGGCCUUAUUUAGAAGGCCCUGCGGGGGGCAGUGGCACACUCCCCCAGACCCCCAGUAAUUCACCUGCUCUCCCCUCACCUCCACCCCCUCCCCAGGGUGAACAAGGGCUCAGGUUCUGGA